ensembl:lncRNA
GGCAGUGGGACUGCAUCACUUUGGAAAAGGUUACUGGAAGAGAGUACAAGAUGAAGCUGCAUCACCCUCAAGACCUAUUUACUACAGCUUAGGCCAUGGUGACAAUCAACUACAAGUUGUCAAAGCAGAAUCAGGAACAAGCACAGAGAUGCCCUCAGCAGGUCCCUGCCAACCCAUAGCAGAGGAUCUCUUCUAUUCUACAGUACAAUAAGUAAGUAAGACUGCAUUCACACAAUCUGUGAUGGAUUAUAGAGAUCUAUAAGUAUAUGGAAGAUUUAUACUUUUUAUACAUACCACUCAUUCACUCACUCCUAGAUUUGUGUAUGUAAAAGAUCUGAUUUUGCAACACAGGAAAACUAGUGUUUUACACAGAAUGUUAUUUUUGUUGGAAACUAUUCUAUAAAGUCAUCAUUGGUGCGUAAUAUGAACCAUUAAAGUAUUUUUUUUUCCAAUCCUGUUUUUUAAUUUUUUCUUCUGCACCUUUUUGUGAGUCUUACAGGUUGCAGAGAGAGAUGACUGAAAACAUCUGAGUGAGAGUAAAAACAAAGAAGUGACCAAAUGUUAUUACAUAUUGUUUUGUUUUUAUUAAUCAAGUUGUACAUUGCUUGUUGUUGAUGUUGUACAUCAAACCCAGACAUUGCUGUCUGUAACCUGUUAACGGAUUUGUUUGUUCAGAAAUAGCUGCUUACCAUUCCGCGUGGUUACAAGUGUAUAUAUACAGUUUGAAUCAACUUCUAAAUAGGUUUAAUCACCUUGUUCGAUCUUCUUUCCAUUUUUACACAUGUAUGAAUGCUAUUACAGUAAAAGAGCUGCUGCAGCUUUCAAAGACACCCACUGUGGUCAACCGCUAACGUCAAAGUGUCACAUUACUUUUUUCCAAAACAGACGCACCGAGUUUGUGGUGAGCAAAUAAAAAUAUAACUGCCAAGUUUGAUACUGAGCAUGACGUUAACUGAGUUUAAGUGUUGUCUAGUACCCAGAAUGAGGUGUCUGGUUUCAUGCUGCUACCUGAUCUGAAAUUCUGCUUUUACACCGUCUGAGCAAACAAAAGUAGAAGUCAGUUGCUGAGUGAGGACCGCAGCUCUCAACUCCUGUGGGCUCGGCUUCAGUAGGUUACAGUAGUUUAUAUUUUGAGAGGCUAAAUAAGGUUUUUUUUUAACAUUAAUUGCUUUAGCAAAAUUCCCUCUCCUCAUGCCUGUUUUAAAUAAAGUUACACAGCGAUAUAAGAAAUGUGGAAGUAACUAUUGUAAAAAAGUGUUUGCAGAUAUUAUGUGUCUAUUUUUAGAGAUAUAAAUACCACAACUAAAAAUGAAUUAAAUUCACAAUUAAUUACAAAUAUAUUACAAAAAUCCACACACUCUAUGCAGAUUGCUGGAUAGUGUUUUGUUUUGUUUUUUGUUUUUUUUUAAGCUUUAAUCUUACCUGAAAAAAUAAAAAAAAAUUCUCUCCAGCUAUACGGGAAACUUAUGAUGAUGUUUUGUUUUUGUUUUUUACUGAACCUGUUAAUAGUAGUGACUGCU